rnacentral:rRNA from 2 species
UAGGGAAUCUUCGGCAAUGGGGGGAACCCUGACCGAGCAACGCCGCGUGAGUGAAGAAGGUUUUCGGAUCGUAAAGCUCUGUUGUUAAGGAAGAACGAGUGUGAGAAUGGAAAGUUCAUGCUGUGACGGUACUUAACCAGAAAGGGACGGCUAACUACGUGCCAGCAGCCGCGGUAAUACGUAGGUCCCGAGCGUUGUCCGGAUUUAUUGGGCGUAAAGCGAGCGCAGGCGGUUAGAAAAGUCUGAAGUGAAAGGCAGUGGCUCAACCAUUGUAGGCUUUGGAAACUGUUUAACUUGAGUGCAGAAGGGGAGAGUGGAAUUCCAUGUGUAGCGGUGAAAUGCGUAGAUAUAUGGAGGAACACCGGUGGUGAAAGCGGCUCUCUGGUCUGUAACUGACGCUGAGGCUCGAAAGCGUGGGGAGCGAACAGG